rnacentral:rRNA from 1 species
GCGAAAACAACCAGGAUGUUGGCUUAGAAGCAGCCACUCAUUAAAAGAGUGCGUAAUAGCUCACUGGUCGAGUGACUCUGCGCGGAAAAUGUAACGGGGCUAAGUAUACAACCGAAGCUUGGGAUUGUCUAAAGACAGUGGUAGGGGAGCGUCGUGUAUGGGGUGAAGUCGCAUCGGAAGGAGCGGUGGACUGUACACGAGUGAGAAUGCCGGAAUGAGUAGCGAGAAUUAUGUGGGAAUCAUAAUGGCCGAAAAUCUAAGGUUUCUUGGGGAAGGUUCGUCCGCCCAAGGUAAGCCGGGAGCUAAGGCGAGGCCGCAAGGCGUAGUCGAUGCACAUACGGUAGAAAUUCCGUAGCCACCGAACCUUAAACCGGAAGGACACUUUCAGAUAGCAGAACCCAGCCGUUGGUAGAGCUGGGCGAAAGGGACUGAAAUAUAGUAGGGAAGUCUGCGAUGCUGAGAGGCGAGAAAAGCUCCGGUGUAUGCUAAGGUGCCCGUACCGCAAACCGACACAGGUAGAUGAGGAGAGAAUCCUAAGGCCAACGGGAGAAGGGUUGUUAAGGAACUCGGCAAAAUUACCCCGUAACUUCGGGAUAAGGGGAGCUCCCUAAGGGGAGCCGCAGAGAAUAGGCCCAAGCGACUGUUUACCAAAAACACAGGUCUAUGCUAAAUCGAAAGAUGACGUAUAUGGGCUGACGCCUGCCCGGUGCUGGAAGGUUAAGAGGAGAGCUUAGCGCAAGCGAAGGUUUGAAUUGAAGCCCCAGUAAACGGCGGCCGUAACUAUAACGGUCCUAAGGUAGCGAAAUUCCUUGUCAGGUAAGUUCUGACCCGCACGAAUGGCGUAACGAUUUGGGCGCUGUCUCAACAGCCCACCCGGCGAAAUUGUAGUACUGGUGAAGAUGCCAGUUACCCGCAACUAGACGGAAAGACCCCAUGGAGCUUUACUGUAGCUUAAUACUGAGGAUUGGUAAUUGAUGUACAGGAUAGGUGGGAGACAUGGAAACAUUGGCGUCAGCCAGUGCGGAGUCACCCUUGGGAUACCACCCUUCAAUUGCUGGUUUUCUAACCUGCGGCCGUGAAUCCGGUCGGGGGACACUGUUAGGUGGGCAGUUUGACUGGGGCGGUCGCCUCCAAAAAGGUAACGGAGGCGCUCAAAGGUUCGUUCAGCACGGACGGAAAUCGUGCAGUGAGUGUAAACGCAGAAACGAGCCUAACUGCGACACCGACGGGUGGAGCAGUAACGAAAGUUGGAGUUAGUGAUCCGGCGGUAUGUGCGUGGAAAUGCCGUCGCUCAACGGAUAAAAGCUACCCUGGGGAUAACAGGCUGAUCUCCCCCAAGAGU